rnacentral:hammerhead_ribozyme from 1 species
GCACUGCUGAGGAGUCCCAUAACAGGACGAAACGAUUGUGCCGUGC